AACCGAAACAAAGCACUCGGAGUUAAAUAAACCUGAAGUUCCUCAUAUGACGUUCUGAGGGACUUAUCUCUACAUGACCGGCCGAGAUCCUCCUACAGAAUACAUUCUCUGCCACCGAUUGGCUAACAGAAACGCCUGUCACUUACCAGCUCCAAAGAAAGCUAGCCUUCCGGCUUUCCCUGGAGGGCGGCGCUAACCACGCAGGUCGGAGGACAAUCUCUUACCCAAUAAGACGGAGAAGGCGUGAAGCCCCGCCUCCCGCGCUCUUUGAUUGGUCGGAGCCUCCAGGAGCAGCUGGGACGAUGGAGUAGCAGAGCUGACAGUCAUCUUUUGAAUACCAAGAUGAAGAAAGAACAGAUACUCAACUGUCAGUUCUCUUCCUGGUAUCCUCGUUUUAAGAGGCAGACCAUCCGCAGUGUCAUUCUUCCAAUCCCACAGAACGUCAAAGAUUAUUUGCUAGAUGAUGGAACCCUGGUCGUUUCUGGCAGAGAGGAUCCCCAAACCAUAACCCAAGAUGGGGCCGAUGAGGAAGAAGCGGAAGAAGCUGUGUGGUCUGAUGAUGAAAAUACAGCAACACUUACAGCACCAGAAUUUCCCGAAUUUUCCCUUAAGGUUGAAGAGGCGAUCCAUUCCUUGGGAGGCAGCGUUUUUCCGAAGCUUAACUGGAGCGCUCCAAGGGACGCCUACUGGAUCGCCAUGAAUAAUUCCCUGAAAUGCAACAGCCUCAGUGAUAUUUUCCUGCUUUUGAAAAGUUCGGAUUUCAUUACUCGCGACUUCACUCAGCCGUUUAUCCAUUGCAACGAUGAUUCCCCGGACCCUUCUCUGAAUUAUGAACUUGUCCUCCGAAAAUGGUGUGAAUUGAUUCCUGGGGCAGAGUUUCGGUGUUUCGUGAAGGAAAACAAACUUAUUGCUAUAUCUCAGCGAGACUACACUCAGUACUACGAACAUAUCUCUAAACAGAAAGAAGAGAUCUGUAGAUGCAUACAGGAUUUUUUCACCAAACACAUACAAUAUAAAUUUUUGGAUGAGGAUUUUGUAUUUGAUGUCUACAGGGACAGUAUGGGCAGAAUUUGGCUCAUCGAUUUUAAUCCGUUCGGGGAAGUAACAGAUUCUCUGCUGUUUACAUGGGAAGAAAUACGGUCCGGAAACAGUUUGAAAAAUGACCAGACUGAAGGUGCAGCGAUGGAAGAGGAGUCUCCAUCCUUCCGUUGCACGAACAGUAAUCUUACGGUCCAGCCGAGUCCGUAUCUGAGCUACAGAUUGCCCAAAGAUUUUGUAGAUCUGUCCACGGGAGAAGAUGUCCACAAAUUAAUUGACUUGCUCAAGCUGAAAAGAAACCAGCCAGAGGAUGAUGAACAAUGAAGAUCACGGGAUAAAAUGAAAACAAAAACAAAAAAACGGAAAGGAGGCCACCCAGAAAAAUAGCAUUUUAACUGUAGCAGCUCGCAGUAAGAACUUCUUUCGUCGCAAAGGAAAGGCAAUGUUAAUGUUGCAUCAUUACUUUAACGGAAUAAAGAUGUUUUCACCCCACUAGAUAAAUAUUGCUUGGGAAAUAGCAAUAUUAUACCGAUGGGACACAGUUCUCUCCCAAUAAGCCUGUAUAUUUGGUUUCUAAGUGUUUGGUUUGCAUUUUUUCCAGAUUUCCUACGCCAGAGAGAGAAAUUUAGAGUGACUGGGUUCAACUGUGCUCUUAAGUCAAGGUCUACCUUUAUUCAUUAAAGCGAAACGUCGGCGGAGUGAGACUUUUCUGGCCGCAGUGGUGAAGUGAAUCCCUGCAAGUUGUUAAAGUGAGUCACAAGGUUGUUAAGUUUUGCCUUUGCCUUUGCUGCUCAGAAGGUCGCGAAAGUUGGGGGGGGUGUCGUGUGACCCCGGGACGCUGCAACCGUCAUAAAUAUGAGUCUGUCGCAGAGUGUCUGAAUUUAGAUCACGGGAACGAGGGAUGCUGCAAAGUUCAUAACUGAAAUAUGGUUCUAAGUCACCUUUUUCAGUGCCGUUGUAACUGAAGGGCCACUAAAUGAGCUUGUUGUAAGCCGAGAACUACCUUUUGAUAAAUGGAAGAGAUGGGUUCUAUUUAAUCUUUCGUGCAAGUGGAAGUCUACUUUGUGAGUGUCUGGGGAAGGAUGUCCAAGAAAGAGAAGAAAACAUUGGCAUAAAACAGUCAAGAAAUCCCAGAUCGGUUGACUUCUCCAUUCGAUCCAAGAGAUUCCACUUCAAUUAGCUUGUUAGAAAAGCAGGAAAACUCCCAUAAUAGCUGAUUUAUUUGUUGAGAAAAUUGAUAUUGUUGCCCACUCGCACAUGGCGACUUAAGGUGGCUUAGAAGGAUAUCAACGGAGGAAACCCUACACUUUUAGUUUCCAAGAUUUUGUAGAUAUCCAAAACCCAAUAGGAAAAAUAUCUUAACUAAAAAAUACCUUAACCUUCUUAAUGUCUGAUAGAAGAGAAUAUUUGUAGCUCAGGGUUGAAAUGAAGAGUCCUUGGUGCUCUCUGAGCUUGGUGGUUUUCUUGCAGACAUUUCCUGACCCAUCUAGGCAACAUCAUCAGUGCUAAGAAGGGAGUGGGAUUUGCAGAGUGGAGGAGGAGGAGGACUGUGGGGGUCCUUGGUGCUCUCUGAGCUUGGUUUUCUUGCAGAUGUUUCCUGACCCAACUAGGUAACAUCAUCAGUGCUACAAAGAACUGAGUAAUUUAGGAGGAGGAGGAGAACUGUGGGUCCUUGGUGCUCUCUAAGCUUGAUGGUUUUCUUGCAGACGUUUUCAUGACCCAACUAGGUAACAUCAUCAGUGCUAGGAGAGGGGUUUGCUCCCUGUCCAUAUCCAUGCCCUGCCAGUAUUGGUGGAGAUACUGUUUUCUCUUGAUUGUUCGUUGAUUAAACUGUUGUGUGCUACUUG